rnacentral:rRNA from 1 species
CACUCCUGCGGGAGGCAGCAGUGGGGAAUAUUGCACAAUGGGCGCAAGCCUGAUGCAGCCAUGCCGCGUGUAUGAAGAAGGCCUUCGGGUUGUAAAGUACUUUCAGCGGGGAGGAAGGCGAUAAGGUUAAUAACCUUGUCGAUUGACGUUACCCGCAGAAGAAGCACCGGCUAACUCCGUGCCAGCAGCCGCGGUAAUACGGAGGGUGCAAGCGUUAAUCGGAAUUACUGGGCGUAAAGCGCACGCAGGCGGUCUGUCAAGUCGGAUGUGAAAUCCCCGGGCUCAACCUGGGAACUGCAUUCGAAACUGGCAGGCUAGAGUCUUGUAGAGGGGGGUAGAAUUCCAGGUGUAGCGGUGAAAUGCGUAGAGAUCUGGAGGAAUACCGGUGGCGAAGGCGGCCCCCUGGACAAAGACUGACGCUCAGGUGCGAAAGCGUGGGGAGCAAACAGGAUUAGAAACCCCUGUAGUCC